rnacentral:miRNA from 1 species
CGCAGGGACUGCAAGGAGCCGCA